GUUCAGUCAUUAAUCAGUAAAGUCAGUACAAGUUUGAGUUCUAACAAACAACAUACAAACCGCUUCAACAUGAACAACUUCAUUGUUUUGACUUCCGUCCUGGCCUGCCUCAUUGUAGCAGCUUACGGGGAUCAUCAUCAUCACCAUCACCAUCAUCAUCACAUGGUUCCUCACUAUCACUUCAAAUACGGCGUUCAUGAUCCCCAUACUCAUGACCAUAAGGAGCAAGAGGAGCACCGCCACCACGAUGAUGU